rnacentral:rRNA from 1 species
GAUGAACGCUGGCGGCGUGCUUAACACAUGCAAGUCGAACGAAGCACUUUGAAACAAUCCUUCGGGUGCGUUUCUUAGUGACUUAGUGGCGGACGGGUGAGUAACGCGUGGGUAACCUGCCUCAUGCAGGGGGAUAACAGUUAGAAAUGACUGCUAAUACCGCAUAAGCGCACAGUACCGCAUGGUACAGUGUGAAAAAGAUUUAUCAGCAUGAGAUGGACCCGCGUCUGAUUAGCUAGUUGGUGAGGUAACGGCUCACCAAGGCGACGAUCAGUAGCCGACUUGAGAGAGUGAUCGGCCACAUUGGGACUGAGACACGGCCCAAAACUCCUAACGGGAGGCAGCAGUGGGGAAUAUUGCGCAAUGGGGAAACCCUGACGCAGCAACGCCGCGUGCAGGAAGAAGGUCUUCGGAUUGUAAACUGUUGUCGCAAGGGAAGAAGACAAGUGACGGUACCUU